GCCUAGCCAUAAACUUUUAUUUACACCUAAAUCGCCAGGGAACUACGAGCUAAGCUUAAAACCCAAAGGACUUGACGGUACCCCAUAUCCCCCUAGAGGAGCCUGUCCUAUAAUCGAUAAUCCACGUUCAACCUCACCAUUCCUAGUUAAUCAGCCUGUAUACCUCCGUCGUCAGCUUACCACGUGAGCGCUUCUUAGUGAGCUUAAUGUUUUUCACCAAUACGUCAGGUCAAGGUGCAGCAAAUGUAAUGGAAAGAGAUGGGCUACACUUUCUACCUUAGAAAAAACGAAAGACUACUUAUGAAACCUAGUUGGAAGGCGGAUUUAGCAGUAAAAAGGAAUCAGCAUGUCCAUUUUAACUCGGCACUGGGGUGUGU
rnacentral:rRNA from 1 species